GAANUUGCGAAUGGGCGAAAGCCUGACGCAGCGACGCCGCGUGGGGGAUGAAGGCUCUUGGGUCGUAAACCCCUUUCGGCAGGGAAGAAGCGAAAGUGACGGUACCUGCAGAAGAAGCCCCGGCCAACUACGUGCCAGCAGCCGCGGUAACACGUAGGGGGCGAGCGUUGUCCGGAUUCAUUGGGCGUAAAGCGCGCGCAGGCGGCCCGGAAAGUCGGGUGUGAAAACUCGGGGCUCAACCCCGGGCGUGCAUCCGAUACUGCCAGGCUUGAGGCAGGUAGGGGAGAUCGGAAUUCCCGGUGUAGCGGUGAAAUGCGCAGAUAUCAGGAGGAACACCGGUGGCGAAGGCGGAUCUCUGGGCCUGUCCUGACGCUGAGGCGCGAAAGCUAGGGGAGCGAACAGGAUUAGAUACCCUGGUAGUCCUAGCCGUAAACGAUGGGUGCUAGGUGUGGGGCGGCGAUUGAUUCGCCCUGUGCCGGAGCUAACGCAUUAAGCACCCCGCCUGGGGAGUACGGCCGCAAGGCUAAAACUCAAAAGAAUUGACGGA
rnacentral:rRNA from 1 species